GGGCAAUUGGUUUAGUGGUAUAAUACCCCCUUAGCAUCAAUUCGACAAGCGAAUUAACCUGGGGGUGGUCCAGGGUUCGAUUCCCUGAUUGUCCA
rfam:Blastomyces dermatitidis ER-3 genomic scaffold supercont1.2, whole genome shotgun sequence.